CCCUUAGAUGUUCUGGGCCGCACGCGCGCUACACUGAUGCAUUCAACGAGUCUAAAACCUGCUCUGAUAGGGGUGGGUAAUCUUUUGAAUGUGCAUCGUGAUUGGGAUAGAUGAUUGCAAUUUUUCAUCUUCAACGAGGAAUGCCUAGUAAACGCAAGUCAUCAGCUUGCAUUGAUUACGUCCCUGCCCUUUGUACACACCGCCCGUCGCUCCUACCGAUUGAAUGAUCCGAUGAAUAUCAUGGAUUGAGGAUGCAAGUAGGUUCGCCUAUCUUCAUCUUCGAGAAGUGGAGUAAAUCUUAUCAUUUAGAGGAAGGAGAAGUCGUAACA
rnacentral:rRNA from 1 species